rnacentral:lncRNA from 1 species
AUAGAUGGAAUUAAAAAUGCACAUGUACAAAGGGCACUGCUAAAACUGGAUUGAGGACCUGGAGCCAGGGGUGUUAGCCUGGGAAGUGAGUAUGAAGUGGGAAUGGAGGGGCAGUGGGAAGGGGAAAUACUUCCAUGACACUGAGGAGCAAGACAAGAUAUAGUCAAGCAUCUGAGCCAAGAUUCUUCAACUCUACUUUCCACCAGUGAGAUGGUAUCAGUCAUUUCUACC